rnacentral:rRNA from 1 species
UACGUAGGGUGCAAGCGUUAAUCGGAAUUACUGGGCGUAAAGCGAGCGCAGGCGGUUCUGUAAGACAGAUGUGAAAUCCCCGGGCUUAACCUGGGAAUUGCAUUUGUGACUGCAGAGCUAGAGUACGGUAGAGGGGGAUGGAAUUCCGCGUGUAGCAGUGAAAUGCGUAGAUAUGCGGAGGAACACCGAUGGCGAAGGCAACCCCCUGGGAUCAUAUUGACGCUCAUGCACGAAAGCGUGGGGAGCAAACAGG